rnacentral:misc_RNA from 1 species
CUAAGGUGGGAUAGAUGAUUGGGGUGAAGUCGUAACAAGGUAGCCGUAUCGGAAGGUGCGGCUGGAUCACCUCCUUUCUAAGGAUAAGGAAACCUGCCAUUUGCGUCUUGUUUAGUUUUGAGAGGUCUUGUGGGGCCUUAGCUCAGCUGGGAGAGCGCCUGCUUUGCACGCAGGAGGUCAGCGGUUCGAUCCCGCUAGGCUCCAUUGAAUCGAAAGGUUCAAAUUGUUCAUUGAAAAUUGAAUAUCUAUAUCAAAUUCCACGAUCUAGAAAUAGAUUGUAGAAAGUAACAAGAAAAUAAACCGAAAACGCUGUGAAUAUUUAAUGAGUUUUCUAGUUUUAAAGAAACUAGUUUAAUAAGGUUAAGUUAAUAA